UUUUUUUUUUUGCUUUUCUUUUUAAAUCACAAAGCAUCAGGGCCAAGUACCAUGCCUGAGGCUGAAUUCGGAGGUUCCUCUUCAGGUGAAACAUCCAAAAAGAAAAUGGAAAUUCAAGACUUUGAGAAAUGUGCAGGCAUGGUAUUCCCUUCUGCCAAAGUUCAGAAGGAUCAGCUGCAGUGGAUGUUACUGCAAGGGCAGGCUUUGCAAUUUGAUCACUCUCGACAAGAAGGAGAUGAACCAAGUGCCAUGAUAAUGUUCGCCUUGCUGUAAAUGUUCACCUUCCUCACCUUAUUUCCCCAGAUGGAUACUUGUUUGCUGAAACAUCUGAAACUCUUAUCUUGAGUCACUUGCAAGAUUGACACAUCCAACUAGCCAC